ACAGACUUAGUUGGAUAGGAGAGGUGUAGUUCUUUACAAACUUUCAGGAUUAGUUAAUGACCAAAUGGAGGUGACAGUUAAGAUUUUCAUUCUGGCCUCGCAUCUGUUCCACACCUCUGGACAGUUAAUUCAGGACUUAACGCUUCAACAGAGUGCAGCUGUUACAGUCCAGCAUGGAGAGGACAUUGUUCUACCAUGUAGGGGAUCAAAUAUGAGGAAUCUUGGGGCAGUAACAUGGAAACGGCUUGAUCUGGAUCCAGAAUAUGUAAUUACAUAUAUUGAUGGAAGGACGACAGCUGAACUCCAAAAUCCAUCCUACAAGGGCAGAGUGAGCUUGAUCUUGGAAGGCAGCCAGAAUCUACAAGUCCAAAUUGGCCAAACUUUGGUUUGAUUUUUUUGUUUUGCGCAGCUUGGUUCCUAUGUAUAUGUUCAUCCACUGCCUUCUGUAGAAAUGGACCAAGUAUUUUUGGACGAUUUCAGUUUCCU